AUAGAGUCCUGAUUUAUGGUUCUGCGCCUUCUCCUCCUUCGAUCUGCAUACGUUACGCACAUCAGAGAAAAUUUCCGAAAAUAAUCUAAUUUUUAACCUAAUUUCAAUGGUAGAGAGUUCUUAACAUAAUUUCCAUCAAUUAUUCAUAAGUUACGGAAAGAAAAAUCCCCAUUAACAGCUCUAUUAUUCUGCUAAUCGAAUUCUGAAGAUGUUCAACUAUAUAAACCUCAUGAGAGGUUAUCUCCCAAAGGUUCACAAUUGCUUCUUCACCAUACUCUUCAAGAUUAAUCGGGCAAUACUCGACUCUGUAUUCCAUUUUUGGAUAUUGAGAAAACAGCUACCAUCCAUCUCAGGUUUCAAGACUACCAACUUCCAUCAAAAGAACAAAGGGCAUUAGUUAAUUAGAGAAAGGUUUUUUAAAUAAGUAAAAUUCUGGAUUAAGUUAUAGAGCUGGGUGUGUUGCGUACAUAUAUUUGGGUGAUUGUUAGAGAAUAGAAACGGCAUACUCUUGAUUUGUUCCAUCCAGUUUCGUUGGUGCAAUGGUAACUGGCUAUUAUCCUCUUGAAUGGUUCAUUGUCCCCAAGGUUCCAGUCAGUUAAUGAUCCUUCUAACACAAUGGUGGUGGAGAGAUAAGGACAGGAUCUAAUGUUUACUAAUGACGAGUGUUGUUAAUUUUUGAAAAUUUGUCGUCGUUCAUGUGAACCUAAGGUUCUUUUAAUUCUUGAAGUUUGAUUUAGGAAAAAUAUAGAGAACACAAAGUGUUUUAAAAAUCUGAAUCUAGGGAGUAAUGUUUCAUUUGUGCGACCUUGAAGAUGGAUGGACGUGGUGGCGUCUGUUAGCUAUGGGGAAGAUUAAGAUUAUGGCUCAAUUAUUUGGAAAUGUUGUUUUCGAUUUAUCUAUCUCAAAGAGUAAUUGUCUCAAAGAGUUACCUAUCUCAAAGAGUCAUUGUAACGUUUUUUUUUAUCCGUGAUUGUAAUGGAAUAUCCGAAUUUUUGUAAUA